UCUCCCUUUUCUGUUGGAGCGUCUCCACUCCUUUGUCCUCAGCACUUUGAAUGAGAUUGGCUUAAUUAAGCCUGUCGGAGACUCCCCUCUUGGCCACAGCACAUGGUUCAGGGACGGGCAGUUGCCAGUCAGAGCCAGUAAGAUGCCCAGAGAAUUUUGCUGAAGCUGCCAGGAAUGAAACACCUCCUGCUUGUGUGGAAAUUGCCUGAAUAGACUCACGCCCGCUGGACAUACACGAGCAUGGCUCUAGCGCUGGGAAACGACUGUUCAUCGGGCAACCGUGAAGACGGGAACAGGUCGGAGAAUGGAGCUAUUUGCAGCGAGAAAAGAGAGCCGGGAAAUCUGGGCAGGAAUCAGAGAUUAAAUCAGUGGGUAACUAAGACUGGCUGCGAUGGAGUUCUGCUCCGUUCCUAAUUCCCCUGGAAGAAAGAGAGGCGUGGAACCGGCAGAGCCCUGGCAGCAUGACGAGGAAACGGGCCCCAUUCUGCAGUAGUUAGAAAACGUCAUGAUACGAUGCCACGUGAAGCACACACCAGCACCUGCCAAAAUGCUCAACCUGGAUCGAAUUACGGGGAAACAUCAGAUGGGUCCAGAUUACGCAGGACACUCUCCAUGACGACUGGCCUGAAAUCCUCAAAAACAGUAAUGCCAUGAAAGACAUAAAUAAAACAGAAAAAAAGGUAGGAGGGCCAGGCGCAGCGGCUCACGCCUGUAAUCCCAGCACUUUGGGAGGCUGAGGCGGGUGGAUCACAAGGUCAGGAGUUCAAGACCAGCCUGGUCAAAAUGGUGAAACUCUGUUUCUACUAAAAAUACAAAAAAUUA